GAUAUUCACUGUUCCUGGACAGCAGUAUCGGCAUCACUUGGGAACUCGUUAGAAAUGCAAAUUCUCAAGCCUUACCCCAGAACUACCAGGUGAGAAACUCUGAAUGGGGCUCAGCAGUCUGUGUGUUCAGAAGCCCUGUAGGGGAUUCUGUUGCACAUUACAGUUUGAGAGUCUCUGCCCUGAUGUUGAUAUAGCUAACAGGUGGGGUGUCUUAUUGGGUUGCUUGGAGACUGGAAAGGUCAGAUCUUCCCAAAAAGGAAUUACAAGGUCUGCAGAAUAGCUCAGGUAGAGGCCAUAAAGCAGGAAGUUCUCCCUGUUUGGAGCUCAAGGCUUUGCAUUCUAUUCCUGGGCAGCAAAGCCAGGGGUGGACAACCAAUAUGGCUGGGUUCAAACAGAGACCCAGGCUCACAGAGAGUCCUGUCUAUCUUUCCCAUUUCCCAGCUCCUUUCUGCCCAGGAAGAAGCUGGAUUGUUGAACUUGUGAAGAGCAUGGAAUCAAGUCCCGCUUCCAACAGGCCCUUAGCCAGCUGUGGAAGCUUUGGGAAAUUCCUUCAUUCCUCUGAGCCUCAGUUUCUUCAUCUAUGGAACCUACACCUCCAGCAAAGCAUGGUGUGGUUUACAUGCCUCACUCAUAGAACCCUUGUCAGGAAGUUAAAUGGAAUGGCAUUACCGUGGUGCCGGAGGCAUUUUAAGAAUGAUUGGCUGUAACUGUGCCUGAAUAUAGUUUCUAAGCAGUCAUUGAGCCCUGAAUUGAUCCACAGGCUGAACUAGGUUCGAGGAGGCUGCAAGAGCCAGGUGCCACGAGGUUACUCUGAAGUGCCCUCAUCCCUGGAAGAGACCCCUGGAUGAGCCUUGGGGAGUCCUUCGAAGUCCUAGAAUCUGGUUUUCAUAAGAUCUUUUUCAGCAAGGUAUUGGUAUCAACAAGUUGAAUUUACCAUCUUAAUGACUUCCUCAAAUAUAAAAUCCACUGCAUAAAAGUGACUUUUAUCCUUAGUUUUAAAAUGUGAGUUGUUAAAGAUCCCUAUAGCUAUGCCCAUCAAAAUAUCAUUUAAAAGUUACAAUUCUCCAGCUUCUUCUGUGUGGCCUACAGAUUAUCUACCUUGAAAUUUCUUCACCAGAUAGGGAGAAAUACCUCAAGCUGUCUUUCAUGUACAAGCCCAGGAGCAGUUUUACACAAAGAUCAGUGUUCUCUCAGUUAAACGCUGGUUAAAUAAAACAGUGUAAAAUAGAAUCUGAGAGAAACA
ensembl:lncRNA